CGCACAUUGCGCCCCUUGGUAUUCCGAGGGGCAUGCCUGUUCGAGCGUCAUUACAACCCUCAAGCCUAGCUUGGUGUUGGGCCUCGCCACUAACCUGGCGGGCCUUAAAAUCAGUGGCGGUGCCCCCGUGGCCCUGAGCGUAGUAAAUAUCCUCGCUAUAGGGACCCGGUGGACACUGGCCAGCAACCCCCAACUUUCCAAGUUUGACCUCGGAUCAGGUAGGGAUACCCGCUGAACUUAA
rnacentral:misc_RNA from 1 species